rnacentral:rRNA from 1 species
ACUCCUACGGGAGGCAGCAGUGGGGAAUAUUGCACAAUGGGCGCAAGCCUGAUGCAGCAACGCCGUGUGAGUGAAGAAGGUUUUCGGAUCGUAAAACUCUGUCCUAAGGGAAGAAAAAAAUAGACGGUACCUUAGGAGGAAGCCCGGCCUAACUACGUGCCAGCAGCCGCGGUAAUACGUAGGGGGCGAAGCGUUAUCCGGAAUCACUGGGGCGUAAAGGGUGCGUAGGCGGCUUAGCAAGCCAGGGGUGAAAGGCAUUGGCUCAACCAAUGUAAGCCUUUGGAACUGUUAAGCUUGAGUGCAGGAGAGGUAAGUGGAAUUCCUAGUGUAGAGGUGAAAUUCGUAGAUAUUAGGAGGAACACCAGUGGCGAAGGCGACUUACUGGACUGUAACUGACGCUGAUGCACGAAAGCGUGGGUAGCGAACAGGAUUAGAUACCCUGGUAGGUCAGUC